rnacentral:rRNA from 1 species
UGGGGGAUAUUGCACAAUGGGAGAAACCCUGAUGCAGCGACGCCGCGUGGGUGAAGGAGCACUUCGGUGCGUAAAGCCCUAUCGGCAGGGAAGAAAAGGGGGAAACCCCAGACGGUACCUGACUAAGAAGCCCCGGCUAACUACGUGCC